UAGUGGGUGUCUCGCUCGGCAGGCAUCUGCCCUUUACAUCCAUAACACCUGUGAACCGUAAGAUGUGGUGAUUCGUUGCCCANUCUGACCUUUUUAUCAAACAUCAGUAGUAAUAAAAGUAGUUAUAUUAUAAUCUAAUAAAACUUUCAACAACGGAUCUCUUGGCUCUCGCAUCGAUGAAGAACGCAGCGAAAUGCGAUAAGUAAUGUGAAUUGCAGAAUUCAGUGAAUCAUCGAAUCUUUGAACGCACAUUGCGCCCCAUGGUAUUCCAAAGGGCAUGCCUGUUUGAGCGUCAUGAAAACAAUCAACCUUGACUUUGGUUUAACUACUAUUGACUCGGCUUGGACUUGGGUGUUUGCCAUCUUUACGGAUGGCUCACCUUAAAUUGAUUAGCUGGACUUGUCUUGACGGCUGGUUUGACUCGGUGUAAUAAGUAUUUCACUGAGGACAUCUUUCGGGAUGGCCAACCGCUUGACUAUGGUCUGCUUUCUAACCCUGUUCUCUUUUAGAGACGUUUUUUAUACAUCUGGCCUCAAAUCAGGUAGGACUACCCGCU
rnacentral:rRNA from 1 species